rnacentral:rRNA from 1 species
CUUGCUUCCUGAUUCAGCGGCGGACGGGUGAGUAAUGCCUAGGAAUCUGCCUGGUAGUGGGGGACAACGUUUCGAAAGGAACGCUAAUACCGCAUACGUCCUACGGGAGAAAGCAGGGGACCUUCGGGCCUUGCGCUAUCAGAUGAGCCUAGGUCGGAUUAGCUAGUUGGUGAGGUAAUGGCUCACCAAGGCGACGAUCCGUAACUGGUCUGAGAGGAUGAUCAGUCACACUGGAACUGAGACACGGUCCAGACUCCUACGGGAGGCAGCAGUGGGGAAUAUUGGACAAUGGGCGAAAGCCUGAUCCAGCCAUGCCGCGUGUGUGAAGAAGGUCUUCGGAUUGUAAAGCACUUUAAGUUGGGAGGAAGGGCAGUCAGCGAAUACCUUGCUGUCUUGACGUUACCGACAGAAUAAGCACCGGCUAACUCUGUGCCAGCAGCCGCGGUAAUACAGAGGGUGCAAGCGUUAAUCGGAAUUACUGGGCGUAAAGCGCGCGUAGGUGGUUUGUUAAGUUGAAUGUGAAAUCCCCGGGCUCAACCUGGGAACUGCAUCCAAAACUGGCAAGCUAGAGUAGGGCAGAG